UGAUCCCGAACCAGUGCUGAGGUUAUUUACCGUUUGUUAGAUUUUCUGUGUUAACAAUUUUAUCUCGAUAGGGAUUGCUGUGGAUUUUAACGCUUUCUAGAUACAGAAAUGGAUUUGUGUGACGAACGCAGGUAGAAAAGUGUGGUUGUUGCCCACCAACACAGAGGGUAACGUACAAUCAUAUGCGGUACUUAUUGCUUAUCUGUAUAGUGUGUGUUAUUAUAUCUUUCAUAUUGUAUAAGUCUCAGUUGAAUUGGAAUGACAUUUUCUAGGGCGGCCAAAGUCUACUGUUUUGGGAAUUAACAACGCUACUAGGGAAGAAUCGAGAAAGUCACUUUUCCCGUUCAUCGUGAUUCAUUUCCAUACCCUGGAUCAUUUGAGGGACCCAAUCGCAUCAUCAGAAUCUGAAGAGCUGCAGUACGCAUGUGCGGAUGCCUUCAUUGUUCAGCAUUGGAAGACCAACAUUUUACGGCUCCAAAGGACAUAUUUAGGAACUGGUAUUGACGGCAACACUCGACGAAUUCACCCAAAGGAGGCAAGAUGGCACUGUCAACGUGUCAAACAAAAUGGGGGGAGUUAUCCCUGACCCCUAACCCCCAAAAACGGUUUCAGUCCCUUACGAAACAGGUUCAGUUUGGCGCCAUUGUAGGUGGUUGUUACCGGAAGGGGUAGGAAAAAAAGGAUAUUCAACAUGGCUGACGUCGUCACUGGCGAAUUUGUCUGUACCAUGCUUAAGAUACGUAAUUGAUUUAAGUUUUGCUCGUUUCAAGAAAGAUACGUUAUGUGUUACGUAAUCCAUUUCCUGCAAGGAUAGAAAACUUAUAUGGGUCAGCAGUAGUCAGAUCUGUACCCAUAUAUUAAUUGACCACAUGUUAAAGGACAUGUGGUUUGGAUGUGUCCUGCAUAGUUAGCACGGAAGACAAAGGAUCUGAAAAUGCAAUCAGUCAGUCAAGAUUUCAUGGAAGUUGACUGUAUAAAGAAACAACCGAAGACAAGACGAUGGUCGAACACAUCGCUGUUACCUGUUCCUCGAACAAGAACAAUUUUAUGUUACAAUGAAUAUGCUGGGCUGAGGAAUGAUCGCUGCGAUCGUACUCAUUGUGGCCAUCGGUAUUGUUACUGUCACUGCAACCGCAUUUUUCCGCAAAGUUAUACAAGCAA